CCUACGGGAGGCUGCAGUGGGGAAUAUUGGACAAUGGGCGAAAGCCUGAUCCAGCCAUGCCGCGUGUGUGAAGAAGGCCUUCGGGUUGUAAAGCACUUUCAGUGGGGAAGAAAGCCUUGGGGCUAAUGCCCUCGAGGAAGGACAUCACCCACAGAAGAAGCACCGGCUAACUCCGUGCCAGCAGCCGCGGUAAUACGGAGGGUGCGAGCGUUAAUCGGAAUUACUGGGCGUAAAGCGCGCGUAGGCGGUCUGAUAAGCCGGUUGUGAAAGCCCCGGGCUCAACCUGGGAACGGCAUCCGGAACUGUCAGGCUAGAGUGCAGGAGAGGAAGGUAGAAUUCCCGGUGUAGCGGUGAAAUGCGUAGAGAUCGGGAGGAAUACCAGUGGCGAAGGCGGCCUUCUGGACUGACACUGACGCUGAGGUGCGAAAGCGUGGGUAGCAAACAGGAUUAGAUACCCCUGUAGUC
rnacentral:rRNA from 1 species